rnacentral:misc_RNA from 1 species
ACACAUUAAAAAAUGUGAAAUAUCCACCAUAUAUACUCUUGUGUAUAACUGGUAUCAGUUGAUCAGAUUCUGAACUACAGUUCAUAGAGUCUGACAACUUGAAGAAAGCUGAUUGAGAAUGCAUGCCAUGUUGAUUAACUUCCGUGGGUGCUACUCAACAGCAAAAGGAACUAGCUGAAUGAGUUUGCAUGCCAUGUUGAUUAACUUCCGUGGGUGCUACUCAACAGCAAAAGGAACUAGCUGAAUGAGUKUGCAUGUGCCAUGUUGAUUAACUUCCGUGGAUGCUACUCAACAGCAAAAGAAAUCUAUUCUAUUGAUCGGUCGACUUCCUGGCAUACAUACACCAUGUAUUGCCUAGUGUCCCAGAUAGAUAGAUGGUAAGCAAAACACAAUAUUGUGUUUGCUCAGUGUCAAAAUGAAAAUGACAAAAUAGCCAAUACUAAAUGUGAUCAUUAGCCAGCAAGAAUAUAAA